rnacentral:rRNA from 1 species
CAGUCGCCACGGGAAUACGUAGGGUCCGAGCGUUGUCCGGAAUUAUUGGGCGUAAAGAGCUCGUAGGCGGUUCGUCGCGUCUGCCGUGAAAUCCUCAGGCUCAACCUGAGGCGUGCGGUGGGUACGGGCGGGCUAGAGUGCGGUAAGGGAGAAUGGAACUCCUGGUGUAGCGGUGGAAUGCGCAGAUAUCAGGAAGAACACCGAUGGCGAAGGCAGUUCUCUGGGCCGUAACUGACGCUGAGGAGCGAAAGCGUGGGGAGCGAACAGGAUUAGAUACCCCCGUAGUCCCUGUCUCUUAUAC